GGGGAUGGUGUAGUGGUUAGGGCACUACACUGGAACCGUGAAGGUUGUGGGUUCGAAUCCCACCAUCCUCA
rfam:Parasitella parasitica strain CBS 412.66 genome assembly, contig: contig_12348